rnacentral:lncRNA from 1 species
AAUAAAUAAAUAAAUAGUGCCAAUGUUAUGACCAGAGGCAGCAAGGCCUGACACAGCAUCCAAGGCCAGUCUGGGCACCUGCUCUUUUGCACAUUAAUAUAAUAAGCUUUAACAAGAAAUACAUGUUAACUUUCUCAGGAUCAAAGGAUUCAGAAGGCUAUUUUGCUCUCAUUUUAUCCUUAGGCUUCAGCAGAAGAAACACUUCCUAUAAAUCUCGCCCAAACAGGAAAGGUUCCCAGCACUCCAAAGCCAAGCUCACCUCCUCAUCACACGCCCUGCAGGAGAAGCAUCAGGGUGUCCGACUACGUGGGUUUCAUAGCUGUGGAAAAGCCAAAGGGGAGACUCCUGAAGAAAGGCGGUGAAGACUGUGAAGAGCGGGUCAGGAAGAUGAGCACAGCACUGCUACUCCUGUGGGCACAGGGACAGCAUGUCUCCAGCCAGCGCCACCUUGUUUAAUACAUGGGAACUCACUGAAAUUCAUUCUGUAUUUUGCCCACAAAGUUUUAAAGCUUUCAUCCACAGUCAGGAAUUAAACUUAUACCAAUGAGAGCCUCACACAUUCAAGGAUGUACUAAGCACUACAGGCCUCACAGAAACAGAGAUCCCAUCUUGGAGUUUUCAGUCCCACAUGGGAGAUAAAGGGUUUUGAACAUGAAAUGACAAAAACAACAGCAAGAAGAAAAUUCUCGUCCUUUUUCAUUACUAUCAAACUCAAAUAAAUGUCUUGGCUCUUACAUUACAUUCAUUCUUCAACCAUUGUGGUCUGGCUUCCACUUCCUUCACUUCACCAACAUGGCUCUGCCAAAGGAAGCCUGUGAUCUCUAGGCCAUCACUUUAAUUGAUCUCUCUACAACAUUUAUCCUGGUCGUUAAGCCCUCCUUACAACAUUCUUCUCUCUUUGUUUUUAUGGCUCUGUCUCUCCUGCUUCUUUAACCUGAUAAUGCA